GAAAAAAGUCAUCUUUGAACUAAAUUGGGUCUGCUUCCAAGUCGGAUCAUUCACCAAUUACAUGUUCAUAAAUAGAGCUGUUACCAAGAUAAGGAAAUGAACAUGUGCACAAAGAAAUGGUCCAUACAGAGGCAAGGCAAUGCGUUUUUCCACACUGGACACAUUCCUCACCAGGUUUGUAAAGCAAUGCCUAACAGAAUAUUGCCAACAAAAGACAUGGUCAAACCUCAUCACACUGACCUAAAGCGAGGACUUCAAACCUUAGAGCAACUUCUCCAGCUUAGUCCAGCAGCAGCAAAUCUUCAUGAUUAAUGGACCUACACCUCAUAAUUCUGCAUAUGGCAUUUUGCCAUUCUCAACAUUAGCCUCCAAAUUCCAGCCCCUCUCUUCAGCCUCCUUCUUCAGUUGUUCUCUGUGGUCUUGUAGUUCCCCACAUGCAGAUUGGAUUUCUAUAUUUUUCAGACAGAGCUCUUUCCAUUGCAUGGACAACGCAUUGAGCUCAUAUGCAGUAGUUUGCUGAUGAUAUUUCCUUUCCCUGUUUGCUGUUUCUAUCAUUUCAUUCAGUUCAGCAGCUUGUGAUUGCAUUCUGGCUAGAAAUGCCUCCAGUUGUUGAUUGUACAGCUUCCACACAUCAGGACCAUGCUUUGACAUUAGAUCCAGAUUUUCUAGCCUGAUUACUUGAUGCUGCAGUAAUCGCUGAGCUUUUUGAAGAGAUUGUUUCCAUGCAGUUUCAUCAUUGCGUUUGUUCACAGGCGGCACCUCAAGUCCAUAUCGUGAAGUAUCUAUUUGUACUGGAGGUUUUCCAGCUCUCACCCGCUCAUAUUCCCUCGCAAGCAUAGGAUGAUUCUCGAAGUUGAAUUUACGAAGAGGAGGGAGGUUUUUGAGGAAAUCGGAAGGUUUUUUGGAGCUGCGGCGCAUCUCCUCUUCGACCAAACGGUCCACCUCUUCUUUCACAUUGGGAUCACCGUAGUCGUCAUCAAUGUACGGCAACGCAUCUAUCACUUCCGCACUACUAGACACCGCCGGACGAUACUCCGGCGGGGCCUCUAGCAUCAAAAUGUCGCCGUCUUUUGUCGCCAUUAUUGCUCGGACCUUCUUACCGAUGUGUAAUAAGCCAGCAGC
rnacentral:misc_RNA from 1 species